rnacentral:rRNA from 1 species
AAUAUUGGGCAAUGGGCGAAAGCCUGACCCAGCCACGCCGCGUGAGUGAUGAAGGCCUUCGGGUCGUAAAGCUCUGUGGGGAGGGACGAACAAGUUGCGGGCUAAUCACCGCGACCCUGACGGUACCUCCUUAGCAAGCACCGGCUAACCCUGUGCCAGCAGCCGCGGUAAUACAGAGGGCGCGAGCGUUGUCCGGAAUCACUGGGCGUAAAGGGCGCGUAGGUGGCCACUAUAAGGCCGUGGUGAAAGUUCGGGGCUCAACCCUGAAUCUGCCGCGGCGACUGUAGGGCUAGGGCACCGUAGAGGCAGAUGGAAUUCCGGGUGUAGCGGUGGAAUGCGUAGAGAUCCGGAAGAACACCGGUGGCGAAGGCGGUCUGCUGGGCGGUGAGCUCGCAAGAGCUCAAUAGCCGACACUGAGGCGCGACAGCGUGGGGAGCAAAC